CACUAUCGGUGCAGGGUGGCGGAUCCAACGGUGGCCAAUGCUCUACUUUGGGGGUACAUACAAAAAGGCCCCUACCUUCAUCUGUCCAAUAGUGGGCUUGUGUGUCUCUGCAUAUAUGACAUAUCUAUGUAUAGGGUUUGGUGUUUAUUUUCAAUUAUUUAUCUAUUAUAAAUGAGUGACUUAUUUUCAAUUACUAUAAUUUACACUACCGUACGUUAGAUUAAAAUUAUCAAUUAAAAUGUGGGAAUUGCAAAGUUGAAAUUUAUAAUUCUGUUCAUUUUACACUAUAUAUCUUCUCGAAUAUUCAGAUCCAUGUACAUUCUAAUCAUGAAUAAUUAGUUGUACAUUUAAUAAUCCAUUACUACUCCAUAAAUCUACUUUGUACUUUCAUCACAUUUGAAUUAGUUGUAUAUUUAAUAAUCCAUCACUUGUAUUUAUGUGCUAUAUAUAAUAUCUUUAAUUUAAACUCUAUGUAAUUCUCCUUAAUAUAUAUCACGAUAAUGGGUUAAUUAUCUAAACAAUGUCGAACUAAACAAAACAUGUAGUAAAUAAAUUAAUCAAGCAUAUAUAGUACGUUCAGUAAUUAAUGUAUUUUUAUUAAUUAAUAAUUAAAACCUAACUAUAACAGCACUGGUCUGGCUAGAUAUAUUAAAAGUUUGGUACAUGAGAAUAUUGGGUUAAUUUCAUGAAAUGUUACUAAACUAUGGUACUUGUAUCAAAUUGGAUACUAAACUUUAAUUUGUUUCAAAAUGAUUACUAAACUUAUAUUUUGUUUCAUUUAAAAUUUUAAGUACAUUUGUACAAUAAUUUUAUUCCAUAAAAUAAUUAAAAUACAAUAUAAUCUUCUCCAAUAAAAUUAAUUUCUCCCAUCUUCUUAGGCUUUCCAAUUACUCCAUAGAAAGAUAGCGAAGGCAGCACUCAUCUCUAUAUUUCGAGCUCAACGGCGCAAAGGCGACGCAAGCAGCUUGACCGCCACUCCAACCAUCUUCGAACCCCAAACCGGUAGCGCCGCCGCCCACCCCUCAGUUUAGGCACCGGAGAAGCAGUUGAACUUCAUUUGGGUAACCGUGGUUGUUCCCGGUGGCUUCGCCAUCACCCUCGACAAAACGUAUUUCCAAUUCAUCACCAUCCUACUCCUCAUUGACAGCUGUAGCCACAUGAUUGAUCACAGACCGGGAUGGCCAUCAAAUCGAGCUCCAACCUAGCCAUCAUGACUAUUCGGAUCGAGAAUCGUCAAACAUCAAACAAGGGAGCUCGCAUGGAGCAGAAAUCGAGCUGUCGGGCAACGACAACUGAUGCGAAUGUGGACGGAAGAAACUGAGGCUCGGAUGUGUUGUUGCUCUCUUGCAGAAGAUAGAUUCGUAUCAAGAAAUGUCAACAAAGUUGUGCACUAGCAGUAGCUUACAAUGUAGCAAUUAAAAUUGUGGUUUAUUCCAAUUGUGACUGUAGCUGAAAAUCAAGCUAACACAGGACCGGGAAGAUGAGAGCCAGGAGUUGAUUUUAAUGGAGAAG
rnacentral:lncRNA from 1 species